UACGAAGGUGGCAAGCGUUGUUCGGAUUUACUGGGCGUAAAGCGCGUGUAGGCGGCUAAGUGUGUCGGGCGUGAAAUCCCACGGCUCAACCGUGGAAGUGCACCCGAAACUACGUAGCUAGAGUCCUGGAGAGGAAGGUGGAAUGCUUGGUGUAGAGGUGGAAAUUCGUAGAUAUCAAGCGGAACACCGGUGGCGAAGGCGGC
rnacentral:rRNA from 1 species